rnacentral:rRNA from 1 species
UUUCCUGCAGUCGAGCGGCAGCGCGGGGCAACCUGGCGGCGAGCGGCGAACGGGUCAGUAAACGCAAUCGGAACAUGUCCAUUCGUGGGGGAUAGCCCGGCCUUAGCCGGAUUAAUACCGCAUACGCCCGAGAGGGGAAAGUGGGGGACCGCAAGGCCUCACGCGAUUGGGUUGGCCGAUGUCCGAUUAGCUAGUUGGUGGGGUAAGAGCCCACCAAGGCGAUGAUCGGUAGCUGGUCUGAGAGGAUGAUCAGCCACACUGGGACUGAGACACGGCCCAGACUCCUACGGGAGGCAGCAGUGGGGAAUUUUGGACAAUGGGGGCAACCCUGAUCCAGCCAUUCCGCGUGAGUGAAGAAGGCCUUCGGGUUGUAAAGCUCUUUUGUCCGGAACGAAACGGUUGAGGCUAAUACUCUCGACUACUGACGGUACCGGAAGAAUAAGCACCGGCUAACUACGUGCCAGCAGCCGCGGUAAUACGUAGGGUGCGAGCGUUAAUCGGAAUUACUGGGCGUAAAGCGUGCGCAGGCGGUUUUGUAAGCCAGAUGUGAAAUCCCCGGGCUUAACCUGGGAAUGGCAUUUGGGACUGCAAGGCUGGAGUGCGGCAGAGGAGACUGGAAUUCCUGGUGUAGCAGUGAAAUGCGUAGAUAUCAGGAGGAAUACCGAUGGCGAAGGCAGGUCUCUGGGCUGACACUGACGCUCAUGCACGAAAGCGUGGGGAGCAAACAGGAUUAGAUACCCUGGUAGUCCACGCCCUAAACGAUGUCGACUGGUUGUUGGGGGUUUGACACUCUCAGUAACGAAGCUAACGCGUGAAGUCGACCGCCUGGGGAGUACGGCCGCAAGGUUAA